UCUACUACCCGACGGUACCAUAAUUGCUGUAAAGCAGCUCUCCUCUAGCUCAAGACAAGGGAUCCAAGAGUUUUUAAAUGAGAUUGGCUUGACCUCUUGCUUACAACACCCAAAUCUUGUGAAGCUCUAUGGAUGCUGCAUGGAAGGAGAUCAAUUGGUUAUGGUAUAUGAGUAUAUGGAGAACAACAGCCUCGCCCAUGUUUUGUUUGAUCGUUCUUCAGAUUCAAACAAAAGCCAAUUGAUGCUAGACUGGCCCACGAGGUUCCAGAUUUGUAUUGGAAUUGCAAGAGGAUUAGCUUUUCUCCAUGAGGAAUCAACAUUGAAAAUUGUUCAUCGGGACAUUAAGGCGACUAAUGUGCUGCUAGAUAAAGAUCUUAAUCCUAAAAUAUCAGAUUUUGGAUUGGCUAGGCUUAA